CGUGGCACUGCCAGGUUUUGGGGUUCCACCGGAUUUUGGGAUCCCACAGGAUUUUGGGGUUCUCUGGGAUUUCAGCGCUGCCAGGUUUUGGGGCACCUCAGGAUUUUGGGGUUCCCUCGGCUUUGGGAAUCUCGUGGCAGUGCCGAGUUUGGGGCACCUCAGGAUUUUGGGAUCCCACAGGAUUUUGGGGUUCUGUGGGAUUUCAGCACUGCCAGGUUUUGGGGCACCUCGAGAUUUCGGGAUCCAAAUGGAUUUUGGGGUUCCCCCGGCUUUGGGAAUUUCGUGNNNNNNNNNNUUGGGGUCCCGUGGGAUUUUGGGAUCCAAAUGGAUUUUGG
rnacentral:lncRNA from 1 species